rnacentral:rRNA from 1 species
GACGAACGCUGGCGGCGUGCCUAAUACAUGCAAGUUGAGCGAUGAAGAUUGGUGCUUGCACCAAUUUGAAGAGCAGCGAACGGGUGAGUAACGCGUGGGGAAUCUGCCUUUGAGCGGGGGACAACAUUUGGAAACGAAUGCUAAUACCGCAUAACAACUUUAAACAUAAGUUUUAAGUUUGAAAGAUGCAAUUGCAUCACUCAAAGAUGAUCCCGCGUUGUAUUAGCUAGUUGGUGAGGUAAAGGCCCACCAAGGCGAUGAUACAUAGCCGACCUGAGAGGGUGAUCGGCCACAUUGGGACUGAGACACGGCCCAAACUCCUACGGGAGGCAGCAGUAGGGAAUCUUCGGCAAUUGACGAAAGUCUUACCGAGCAACGCCGCGUGAGUGAAGAAGGUUUUCGGAUCGUAAAACUCUGUUGGUAGGGAAGAACGUUGGUGAGAGUGGAAAGCUCAUCAAGUGACGGUAACUACCCAGAAAGGGACGGCUAACUACGUG